rnacentral:rRNA from 1 species
GACGAACGCUGGCGGCGUGCCUAACACAUGCAAGUCGAACGGAACUGUUUUGAAAGAUUUCUUCGGAAUGAAUUUGAUUUAGUUUAGUGGCGGACGGGUGAGUAACGCGUGAGUAACCUGCCUUCAAGAGGGGGAUAACAUUCUGAAAAGAAUGCUAAUACCGCAUGAUAUAUCGGAACCACAUGGUUUUGAUAUCAAAGAUUUUAUCGCUUGAAGAUGGACUCGCGUCCGAUUAGUUAGUUGGUGAGGUAACGGCUCACCAAGACCGCGAUCGGUAGCCGGACUGAGAGGUUGAACGGCCACAUUGGGACUGAGACACGGCCCAGACUCCUACGGGAGGCAGCAGUGGGGGAUAUUGCGCAAUGGGGGCACCCUGACGCAGCAACGCCGCGUGAAGGAUGAAGGUUUUCGGAUUGUAAACUUCUUUUAUUAAGGACGAAAA